CCCAAGACAUCAAAACACUACAACUCCUACUAUCUCUCUCUCUCCAAAAUCGUGCAAACCAAACAUCCCCACUCCAUUUUCAUUUCAAACUUCAAAUUCAAGAGUUCUUGCACAUUUGGAGAUCCAUGGAUGAAACAAGCCUCAAGGGUGUUUAGAAAAGCUAUUAGGAGCCUUUUUGGUGGAACUAGAAGCCAUAAAUCAUCAAGAUUUUCAAAUCUUCAUCUUUGUUUCUUUGCAAAAAUUGUCGAGAAACGAACCGCGAACAAGGAAUCGAAUAGAGAUUUGCACGGAACGCAAAUCUGUCGAGAAACGAACCGCGAACAAGGAAUCGAAUAGAGAUUUGCACGGAACGCAAAUCUGAGAUUAGUGGACGGCUAUG